AGUGAACGCUGGCGGUAGGCCUGACACAUGCAAGUCGAACGGCAGCACAGUAAGAGCUUGCUCUUACGGGUGGCGAGUGGCGGACGGGUGAGGAAUACAUCGGAAUCUACUUUUUCGUGGGGGAUAACGUAGGGAAACUUACGCUAAUACCGCAUACGACCUACGGGUGAAAGCAGGGGAUCUUCGGACCUUGCGCGAUUGAAUGAGCCGAUGUCGGAUUAGCUAGUUGGCGGGGUAAAGGCCCACCAAGGCGACGAUCCGUAGCUGGUCUGAGAGGAUGAUCAGCCCCCCUGGACCUGAGAAACGGCCCAGCCUCCUACGGGAGGCAGAAGUGGGGAAUAUUGGAAAAUGGGCGCAAGCCUGAUCCAGCCAUACCGGGGGGGUGAAGAAGGCCUUCGGGUUGUAAAGCCCUUUUGUUGGGAAAGAAAAGCAGCAGGUUAAUACCCCGCUGUUCUGACGGUACCCAAAGAAUAAGCACCGGCUAACUUCGG
rnacentral:rRNA from 1 species